CUUUAGUCACCAUUUACUUUGGGGUAUGUGUUAUGCCUUAAAAUAGUAUUCUAAAAUGUUUUUGAGCACAAAAUUGUUUGGUGAUCUCAAUUUUCCUUUAUCUGUUAUAUGCUUAAUAAUUUAGUUAAUCAUUUUUGUAGCUUGGAUCUUUUCUGUCCAUGCGCGGAUGUUACCUCUAUCACAAAAGAGUUAGUGGAGAUAAGGUUGACAA
rnacentral:misc_RNA from 1 species